CACGUAGGAGCCAAGCGUUAUCCGAAUUCACUGGGCGUAAAGCGCGUGCAGGCGGCUCGGUAAGUUGGAUGUGAAAUCUCCUGGCUCAACUGGGAGAGGCCGUUCAAUACUGUCGGGCUAGAGGGCAGCAGAGGGAGGUGGAAUUCCCGGUGUAGUGGUGAAAUGCGUAGAUAUCGGGAGGAACACCAGUGGCGAAGGCGGCCUCCUGGGCUGCACCUGACGCUCAGACGCGAAAGCUAGGGGAGCGAACGGG
rnacentral:rRNA from 1 species